rnacentral:misc_RNA from 1 species
AAGUCGUAACAAGGUUUCCGUAGGUGAACCUGCGGAAGGAUCAUUACAGAAUUUCCUGCCCUCUGGGUAGAAAUUCCACCCUUUGUGUACAUUAUCAUUGUUAAACUCUGAAUCAUGUCGUCUGAGUACUAUAUAAUAGUUAAAACUUUCAACAACGGAUCUCUUGGUUCUG